AUGUAUGCGCUGCCAAACGCGGAGCAGUCAUGCCUAGCGAUUGUGGUUGUAAAGUCGAAUGGUCUUACUGGAGGUGAACUGUUUGAAGACAUAGCGGAAAGAAAAUACUACAGUGAAGCUGAUGCACUCACUUUCACAGGGACCUGAAAUCAUUGUAUUCAGCAGAUCCUGGAGGCUGUGCUACACUGCCAUCAGAUUGGCAUGGUCCAUCAGGACCUGAAGCCUGAGAAUUUGCUCUUAGCUAGCAAAUCCAAGGGAGCAGCUAUGAAAUUGGCAGACUUUGGCUUAGCCACAGAAGUUCAAGGUGACCAGCAGCCGUGGUUUGGUUUUGCUGGCACAUCUGGCUAUCUUUCUCCAGAAGUUUUACAUAAAGACCCUUCUGUAAAACCAGUGGAUAUGUGGGCAUGUGGUGUCAUUCUCUAUAUUCUACUGGUGGAGUGUCCACCCUUCCGGGAUGAAAAUCAACACAGACCCCAUCAGCAGAUCAAGGCUGGAGCUUAUGCUUUUCCAUCACUGGAAUGGAAUAUGGUGAUUCCUAAAGCGAAAGACCUCAUCAAUAAAAUGCUUACUAUCAACCCUGCCAAACGUAUCACAGCCUCAGAGGCACUCAAACACCCAUGGAUCUGUCAGCAUUCUACUGUUGCUUCCAUGAUGCACACACAGGAGUCUAUAGGCUGCUUUAAGAAAUUUAACGCCAGAAGAAAACUAAAGGGUCCCAUCUUGGCAACUAUGGUGGCUACAAGGAAUUUCUCAGCAGCCAAGAGUUUGUUGAAGAAACCAAAUGGAGUAAAGGAGUCAACUGAGAGUUCAAAGACAACAAUUGAGGAUGAAGAUGUGAAAGCACGAAAGCAAGAGAUUACCAAAGUCACUGAACAACUGAUCGAAGCUAUCAACAACGGAGACUUUGAAGCCUACAGAAAAGACUGUGACCCAUGCCUUACCCGCUUUUGAACCUGAAGCUUUGGGUAAGUUAGUGGAAGGGAUGGAUUUUCACCAGUUCUACUUUGAAAAUGCUUUACCCCAAAGCAAUAAACCAAUCCACACUAUUAUUCUAAACCCUCAUGUACAUCUGGUAAGGGAUGAUGCUGCCCGCACAGCACUGCACACACAGUACAUGGAUGGCAGUGGAUUGCCAAAGACAAUGUAGUCAGAAGAGACUUGGGUGUGGCACCGCCGGGAUGCAAAGUGGCAGAAUGUUCACUUUCAUCGCUCGGGGUCACCAACAGUACCCACCAACUAAAUAUCAACAGUGCCACUUCUGCGUUCUCUGUUCUCAAGGCACCUGGAUGGCGACCCUGGGCUGUCCUCUCCUCCUCUCUUCAUGCAUGUUUCUGAGUGCAUGAAGUUGUGAAGGUCCUACAUGUAAUGCAUAUGUGAUGCAUCAUCUUAUCAUAUAUUCCUUCCUAUACAUUGUUUACACUGCAACUAUGGGGAUGUUCCAUGCAAAUUUAAAUUACUGUUGGCAAAACAAUAGGGAGAGAUUAGACAAAAACAAUUUUUUCACAAUAUUCCAAGUAUGACUCUUCAUCAAGUUUCUCUGCUAAUGCCAAGAUUUAACAGACUUAAGAACCAUUGUUCUCUGAAUGACAGUUUGUAAGAGAAAUGUAAAUUUUUUAGAACUCUUUGCUGUUAAUCUGUUUUGGCUUAUUCGUUUUUGUUUUUGAUUUUUUUAAGAAAAACGUAAAAAAAUAUACCUUCAGUUUUCUGGUGUGAUCCUGGUUAAAAUGAAUGAUUUUUCAUUGAAAGUUUUGCUGUUUAACAAUUAAAGUGGGUUGAUAUGUGGGCAAAAUCACUUAUGAAAAUAGAAGCAAGAAUCGGUUGGUUUGCUACCACAUAAAGCCAUGCUGGUUUUGGUCAAACCGUGUAAACUGGAAAAAUGCACAUCAUUUCUGAGUUUAAUCACUUUAGGAUACAUUCACAUUUUUUUGGUGAAUUUUUUUUCUUAAAUCUGUGAACUCUUUUCUUUAUCCUGUGUCUUUGUUCCUUUUGUUUGCUGCCUUUUUUAUUUUUCUUUUGUUCGAUUUUUUUCUUACUUUUUUUCCUUUUUCCUUUUUUGGGGAGGCUGGGCUAGUAGUGUGUGAGAAGAGAAUGAAAGGGAAAUUUGCAUAAUGAAGGUAAAAGGGAAAAAAAG